rnacentral:rRNA from 1 species
CCUACGGGCGGCAGCAGUGGGGAAUAUUGCACAAUGGGGGAAACCCUGAUGCAGCGACGCCGCGUGAGCGAUGAAGUCUUUCGGUAUGUAAAGCUCUAUCAGCAGGGAAGAAAAUGACGGUACCUGACUAAGAAGCCCCGGCUAACUACGUGCCAGCAGCCGCGGUAAUACGUAGGGGGCAAGCGUUAUCCGGAUUUACUGGGUGUAAAGGGAGCGUAGACGGCUUGGCAAGCCAGAUGUGAAAGGCUGGGGCUCAACCCCAGGACUGCAUUUGGAACUGUCAUGCUAGAGUGUCGGAGAGGCAGGCGGAAUUCGUAGUGUAGCGGUGAAAUGCGUAGAUAUAUGGAGGAACACCAGUGGCGAAGGCGACGAUCUGGCCUGCAACUGACGCUCAGUCCCGAAAGCGUGGGGAGCAAAUAGGAUUAGAUACCCCUGUAGUC